AGCUGAGUCGCUUCACUCUCACAAACAUUCAGCGUUUGCUCAUUUCUCCAAGAGUUUUCCCGGUCCUCAUCAGAAAUCUCCCAAAGUUCCCUCUCCCACCAUGAUGUCCUUGAAGAAUAUUCUAGAAUUUGUCAGAGUCUGAUACGUCUGAGAUACUUGAUGUGAGAUACUUUUACUAACAAAAUCUCCCACUUCUAAAUAUUGAUUAAAGUCUGUUCUGGAAAAAUUAUGUUUUUCAAUCAAAUGACAUCAAAGAGGAAAUCCUGCAAUUUGAACAAUCCCAGUUUCUGACACUGAUUACCCAUCAUUCCCGGCAUAAUCUCUGGAUUAAGUGCUGAAGUUAUCAGAGACCCUCCAGUUCCCUUACUGUUCACCAUGCUGUCACUGACUCUGUCUCAGUAAUGUGUUGCGCUUUAAACGGCUUUUCUCUGCAGAUCAGCUCAUUCACGUGAAGAGUUACGGUUUGUCAAAGAGCGCUGGCGGUUUGGAUAGAAACACCUCAGCCGCCAUCUUUCCUGCCUCCAGAUCCCACUGAGGAUUCUGAGGAUCUUUGAUCAUCCCUGGAUGAGCGGAGGAAAACACCUGGAUGGAUUAACAAACAGAUGGAACAACAGGUUUAUGGAGAACACAGAAGACAGAACGUGAUGUGAAGAAGGAGUUCCAGCUCAGAACCAGAACCAACGUUGGCCCGUUGGAUCCAGAACCUGUUCCCUCCAGUGGUUGGAGAGAUGUGAACGCUCAGCUGACCUGAAUCGAGGACCUCAGUGACCCUCCAGGAGAACCCUGGCGGCGUUUGAGACGGCGAACACCAAACAUGGGAUCCCAGGAGACACUCCAAGUCCAGUAAGAUGAAAUCCUCUCAGGAGCAAGAAAUGUUUUAA